CGCAGAAAUCCGUCGGCAAAAACGGAUUCUGAUUCCGUCUAUCGAGGUUCGAAUCCUCGCGGGGCAUCCA
rnacentral:tRNA from 1 species